rnacentral:lncRNA from 1 species
CAAUAUAAAUAUAACAUUUCAUUUUCAAAAAUAUAAAUAUAAAUUAUAAUUGUUCUCUACGAUUUUUCAUGUUCUGAAAAUGUUGAAUGAUUUUCUCAUUUUCAACAUCAACAAAAAUAUCUCUCUCAUUUGUUCUCUACGAUUUUUCAUGUUCUGAAAAUGUUGAAUGAUUUUCUCAUUUUCAACAUCAACAAAAAUAUCUCUCUCAAUGUAAGUAACUAAGCAAUCAUUUAACCAAUCAUCACCCAUGCGAUUUCGCAUUCGAUUCUU